rnacentral:rRNA from 1 species
AUUGAACGCUGGCGGCAGGCUUAACACAUGCAAGUCGAGCGGGGUGAUGGUGCUUGCACUAUCACUUAGCGGCGGACGGGUGAGUAAUGCUUAGGAAUCUGCCUAUUAGUGGGGGACAACAUCUCGAAAGGGAUGCUAAUACCGCAUACGUCCUACGGGAGAAAGCAGGGGAUCACUUGUGACCUUGCGCUAAUAGAUGAGCCUAAGUCGGAUUAGCUAGUUGGUGGGGUAAAGGCCUACCAAGGCGACGAUCUGUAGCGGGGCUGAGAGGAUGAUCCGCCACACUGGGACUGAGACACCGCCCAGACUCCUACGGGAGGCAGCAGUGGGGAAUAUUGGGCAAAGGGGGGAACCCUGAUCCAGGCAUGCCGCGUGUGUGAAGGAGGCCUUAUGGUUGUAAAGCACUUUAAGCGAGGAGGAGGCUCUUUUGGUUAAUACCCAAGAUGAGUGGACGUUACUCGAAGAAUAAGCACCGGCUAACUCUGUGCCAGCCGCCGCCGUAA